rnacentral:rRNA from 1 species
GACGAACGCUGGCGGCGUGCUUAACACGUGCAAGUCGAACGAUGAACCCGGAGCUUGCUCUGGGGGAUUAGUGGCGAACGGGUGAGUAACACGUGAGUAACCUGCCCUGGACUCUGGGAUAAGCGUUGGAAACGACGUCUAAUACCGGAUAGGACCUUGGAUCGCAUGAUCUGGGGUGGAAAGUUUUUUCGGUCUGGGAUGGACUCGCGGCCUAUCAGCUUGUUGGUGAGGUAAUGGCUCACCAAGGCGUCGACGGGUAGCCGGCCUGAGAGGGUGACCGGCCACACUGGGACUGAGACACGGCCCAGACUCCUACGGGAGGCAGCAGUGGGGAAUAUUGCACAAUGGGCGAAAGCCUGAUGCAGCAACGCCGCGUGCGGGAUGACGGCCUUCGGGUUGUAAACCGCUUUUAGUAGGGAAGAAGGGCUUCGGCUUGACGGUACCUGCAGAAAAAGGACCGGCUAACUACGU